rnacentral:rRNA from 1 species
UACGAAGGGGGCUAGCGUUGUUCGGAAUCACUGGGCGUAAAGCGCACGUAGGCGGACGUGUCAGUCAGGGGUGAAAUCCCGGAGCUCAACUUCGGAACUGCCUUUGAUACUGCACGGCUUGAGUCCGGAAGAGGUGGGUGGAAUUCCUAGUGUAGAGGUGAAAUUCGUAGAUAUUAGGAAGAACACCGGUGGCGAAGGCGGCCCACUGGUCCGGUACUGACGCUGAGGUGCGAAAGCGUGGGGAGCAAACAGG